rnacentral:lncRNA from 1 species
CAACUAGAAUUUUGAAUCCAAAUCUAAUAGGGAGUUUGGAUCCUAAUCUAACAAAGAGUUUGAAUCCAAAUCCUAUAGAAAUCCCCACCUUGGCAAAAAACUUCCUCAAAUAAAGUAACAUUGCUUUCAAUGCACCUUUCGGCGCUAGAUAUUAGUUAGGUUCGCCAAAUCCAACACCAUGUUCUUCCCGUAAAUAAUGCUUGAAGUUAUGUCUUCAAAGCUGCUACGUGUCCUCUUUGUGUUUUCUUCGGACUUUUCCUUAUAUGACAUCGUUACCUCUUAAAGUAUUAAUGAUUUGAUGUAGUCACUCAUUCAUGCUUAUCAUGCUCCAAUAUACAUGUCCAUUUCUAUAAGGGGACAAAACAUACAAUUACAAAAUCUCGGGCAGGGGCAUCAGCCUUGCUGUCGCUGGGAAGCAAACUCGGCAAACCCUCGGGCUGGAGCUCGGUGCAGUAUUCCUAAAUAUAGACACUGUCCGGGCUAAGGCCAUCGUUGCCAAGGGACUUCUUCUACUCAUAAAGCUUGGUUGGAAAACAUAUGCUGGAACUCAAACGGAUACAACGUCCGAAGGUCAUCCCGGGGGAUGUCAGGGGACAUGAGGUGGCUUAUACAACGGAGUUCUUUUUGACAACCCUCAUACCUAGACGAAUAUGUCGAAAACAUGAUGACAGUCUACCGACUACGCUGCAGAGGCAUGGUUGAGUCAACCACCUACCUACUGACAUGGCAAUUGGCGCAUCAAGGUACGCGCCGAGCUAGGCUAUAAAAGGAGAACUAUUGUUCUCACUCAGGUACGCGAUUUUAGGCAAUCAGAACAUACAUAUAUUUUCUCUCUCUACAUACACUUCCCCUGGUCAUCUAAUUUGAUCGUCGGAGAGCCAUUUCCCGAAAACAGCUCUGGCUGCCGGUCUCAUUGUUUCUAGGCUACAAUUAGGGUGUCGUCGAGAUCUUACCUAGUGCCAGCUCUCUAAACGUUGGAAGAUUACCGUAGGUGUCUAUCUUCAAUUUUCCUUCCAUCACUCAUUAAACCCACUACCCACAAUUGGUGCCUUCUAUGGAAAAUCGACUAUAGACAUUUGCAAGGUUACCAUCCAUGGCAUCGCAAGACGAUAACUGUUCUGUAGCCGUCAAACCUGAUGGGAGCCUCCUUAUGUUCCCAAGACUCCUGGGAACAGAGGGGCUAAACUAUUGGCUGAUGCCCAAAGGACGAUGAAGGCUAUCUCAAAGCAAAGACUAGGUCGGUUGCUCCCCGGAGGAGAUGACAACUAGGAUAUCACCAUUAAAUGCCUGCAAGCGCAACUGGCCGAGAUAGCAUAGAUCAUGAUUGACAACCAGUUGAUGAAACCACCACAAAUAGAGGAGAAUAACCUUUCAAAGCAAGGUCUAGGGACCUAAAAGACCCAGCUCGAAGUGUUAGAAAGGACAAGCAAUGCGAGUUGCAUGUCGACUUGGAGAGCCAAGGAGAUAGCAAAUUUGUGACAUCAAAUAAACAUAGGGUAUCACCAUGCCGAGCCCAAUUGAGCAUAGAUCUUUGCGAUAAGCUCAUCAAAAAAAGAAACCAAGAAGGUGAUCUGCGUGAAAAAUUUAAUAGCCAAGCAGUCGUGGCGAAGAACAAAACUAUCAUUCCAACCGGGUUAGUGGCCCAUGCAGCGGGAUCAGUACAAAAGGAGUCUAUCUUGAAAUACCAGACUCUAAAGACAUAGGGGGAAUGGACCCCCCAAAAAGGUUUGUGCCACCAAGAUUCAUCUUGUAUGAUGGAAAAUUAGAUACUAGGUCCCACGUGAGCCACGUCAGGUAGAUGAUGGCCCUAUGGAAUCACACGGAUGCCUUGAUGUGUUGGGUAUUUCCAUCAAGCUCGGGAGAUCUCAGAUUAAAAUAGUUUGAUAAGCUACCAGCCGAAUCGAUAUAAAGCUUCCAUCAGCUCACCGAGUCAUUUGUGGCUCAAUUUCAUAAACAUCAAAGCGUUGAAAGGCGUUGGAUCUCUCUUGACACUGAGGAAGGGAAAAAAUGAGUCAAUCCGAAACUAUAGUAAGCGGUAUUGGAAAACAUAUAAUGAGAUAGAGAAAUGCUCCCAGGAGUUGGCAGUGGCGAGCUACAAGCUCGGGUUGACUCUCGAAGAGAGACUCUGGGAAAACUUGAUGCUUGAUCCCCCAACCGACCUCCGAGACCUCAUGUCUCAGGUCGAGAUGUUGGCUUGGUUGGAGGACGACGUCAAGCAAGCAGAUAAAGCGACAAGAUUAAUAGCCCGAGGUGAGGGGCUAUUCAAGAAGCGAAAGGAAGGCUCGGGUUGUGGUUUUCAAUGAACCAAUCUACAAACUUCUUGCCCGAAUUCGAGAUAAACCGUAUUUUAAGAAACACUAACCGAUGGGAGGAGACCCCAAAAGCCGCAACUAGCGUUGGAAAUGCUCUUAUCAUGACGAGAGGGGACACAAGACAAAGAACUACCGAGCGCUUAAGGUAUUCCUAGACCAGAUGGUCUGAGAAAGACACCUGAAGGAGU